UCUCAGCAGAGUCCAAUCCACACUCCAUUCCUGCUAUCUCUCUCUCUCUCUCUCUCUCUCUCUCUCUCUCUCUCUCUCUCUCUCUCUCUCUCUCUCUCUCUCUCUCUCUCUCUCUGUCUAAUACCAUUUACAAGCAUGAUAUUAGAGGCUGGACGGUGGAAUUCGGGAUAAAGGAGAAGAAUUUGCUACCUGCUUUGGAAGAACUAGCUAGAGUGAGGUAACAACGAGGUAUUUGCUCAGCCACGUUCAUCACAUUCAUCAUAAUAGCUAGGAAAUAGAAACAACCUAGUUGUCCUUCAGCUGAUGAAAGGAUAAUGAAAAUGUGCUACUCUUCUAUUCAUCAGAUUGGCUCAGAAUUUGGAAAACCUGGGGGCUAUUAAAAUGCCAGAGAAGGUCGUCUUUCUCUAAGGAAGCAGUUUUUCACUGAGGUGCCUUUUUUUCUAAACACAAAGGGCGGAGGGAGAGCGGAACUGCAUGCUCUCGUGAAAUCAUGCUGCCACCAAGCGGUAACGUUUCACAGGCGAAAACAAAGGCCAGAAGAAUGUUUUCUUUAUCUCCCGACUUUGGCUGUUUGAACUGGAAUGGACCAGGGAAGACGCAGAGCGAGACAAAAAGAAAAGGGGAGGCGAAAGUCAACUAACCAGAAAGCCCCACCACCCAACCCGCAAGGGUGACCCGGAAGUGAAUUCGGAGUUGAUUGACAUGUAGUUCCUUCAAAUCAGAGUCGGGAAGCCGUAGCAACAGUACAGGAAGUCCCGGCGGUUUUAAGUUGCGGUUCCGGUGUUCAGAACGCCAAGGACGAUGGGAAGCUUGAAUUUGUUUAUAUAGCUUUAGGCAGUUCAGUUCACCCUUUCGUGCUGCCGAGAACCCCUCUGACGCCGCCACCCCACCGGAAUGGACCGAGGUGGCUUCCUUUGCUGGUAGAAAUGAACGCGAGGAGGAAACAUCUGACUCCAUAAUGUGCCAGACCCUGGAGACCUGAGACACAUCGACUCGCUUCUCAGCUUUUGAGAUGCACAAUGAUGAGAAAUAAAAAUGAAAAGAUUUCCAGAAAGAAGCCAUAAGAUUCAAGGUUUCACAGUCCAAGCUAAUGUCCACGGAUACUUGACCGAAUGAUCUGAGAAAAUUGCAAUCCUGGCAAAAGAAGUGUAACUAGACUAAGGCAAGAGAAAGACGAUACAGGAAUCUAGGAUACAGGAGAAGGAAACAGGAAGGAACCAACAAGCAUCAACCAGAAUGGGGGCAACUAGAAGAUUCCAAUUUUGGCCAAUAGGAAGAAAUCCUUCCUAAGCUUCAUUUGGGAAAUGGAGGGCCCUGGUAAAAAAAAGAGAUACAACAAAUGAGGACAAAGCAAAAACCGAUUAUGCCUUAUUUGUGGCGGGUGGAGCAUGGAGGACUACUGGAUUAGAUGGAGAGAAUGCCCAGGCAUCUCCAUGGCCCUACUGAUGUUCCAGAACUUAAGUCAGUGAUAAACUACAUGUACACCUAGAGGAGAUGUGUAACACUCAGCUACCUCUCCAGCACCAUGUCUGCCUGCAUGCUGCCAUGUCCUUCCACGAUGACAUGGAUUUCCCUGGGAAGGGGAAAUAGAAGAGAUCUCCUGGGUAUGUACACACAUUUGUGCUGUGUGCAUAGAGGCAGAACAGAGCAUCAUAUCUUCUGAAGCUGGAGUAAAAGAGGGAUAAGAGUUCAUCAUAGAGGUGACAUCAUAACAAGAAGCAAGGAUGGCAGCAGAAGGAAGCUGAGAGAUCCUAUUUUUGUUCACAUACAGAAAGCAGAGAGAGGGAACUGUAAGUGGGGGUGAACCUAGAAACUCUCAAAGCUCACUCACAGUGAUGUAUUUUUCCAGCCAAUCUAUACCUCCUACAGGGUCUAUAACCUCCACAUACAGCGCUACCAACUGGAGAUCAAGUAUUCAAAUACACAAGCCUUUGGGGAACAUUUGUCAUUAAAACCACCACAAUUAUAGACAAAAGUGUUGUCAGAUAUUUGCACACUGUGUGAAGGUAUAUUGCUGUAAUUGGUGUAAUGUAGCCAGAAGUUUUCCUGUGUCCUGCCUAGCCCACAGUAAGGACAAAUCUCUCCUACCUGCCAGUCCUGCAGCCACCCAAAGGGGGAUAUAUGUUCCCCCAAGUAAGCACAUAGAGGCUUAUAUUAAUUAUAACUGCUUGGCCAUUGGCUCAGGCUUAUUACUGGCUAGCUCUUAUGCUUAAAUUAACCCAUGAUUCUUUUCUAUGUUUAGCCACAUGGCUUGGUACCUUUUCUCAGUUCUGCCUUGUCAUCUUGCUCCCUCUGUGUCUGGCUGGUGAUUCCUGACUUAGCCUUCCUCCUCCCCAGAAUUCUUGUCUGCUUGCCCCACCUAUACUUCCUGUCUGGCUACCAACCAAUCAGCAUUUUAUUUAUCAACCAAUCAGAGCAACACAUAUUCACAGUGUACAGAAAGAUGUGCCACAGCACUUCAAGAAGAAGACAAACUCCAUAUGGAGUGUCUUCGAUGCCUAUCUUUCUCUUUGAAGUAAAUCAGUGCUGCCAGGAGCAGACGUGUCUCACUGUCCAGAAAGUCUAAGUUUUUAGAACAUUUUAAAUGCCAUAUUCUGUAGGUCUUUGAAGUGUUGGAACAUUACCUACCUAACUGAAUUAUAUCUAUGUAUACCUAGAAAACUUAACAUGACUACAAGUUUGAUUAUCAUAGAUCAUUAACUAUUAAUCUGUAUUUCUCAAUUAUACACUAUAAUUUCAAAUGAGCUGCACAAACAAAAUACUUGAAACAAGAGUAGAAAUAUACAUACAGUAUAGCAAAAUUAACUUUAAAUUUGUAUCAAUAAACUAAAAUCCAUAGCAAUGUAAAACAUUUCAAACAAAUUGUUGCUCUUUAAAAGUAAAUUCAAUAAUCUAAUCUUUUAUCCUAUCAUAUCUAUAUCCUAUAUAUCUAUAUCAUGUCCCCCUUUCUUCUUUUAGAAAGACAUUGACUAUGACCAAUAACAACAAUUUGUAACUGAAAACCUAAACAAAGACAAACAUCUAUAAUCCAUUUUUGGGGGGAUGUGGGUGUAGUUUUCUAGGCUACUUCCUACUGAUAGGGGGCACUGGUAGGCUUAUGGGGAUCCUGAGAAAAUUUGAGAUAAUGGUCAAGUCCUGGGAAGACCGGCUAUAACCUUUGUUGAUGAGUAUCAUCUGUUAAGAUUCAGGAGGUCUGGCUUGAUCAAAUCUGAUCCAUCUUAACUGGGAACAAAUCCAUAGCCUCUUGCUUCCUGUGGAAACAAAAGCAGAGCCUCCUUUCAAAAGCAACAUAUCCUUAGAUCCAAAUUUUGAAGUCAAGAUACCUUUAAAAUACAUAUAUUGGUUUAACGGAGCAGCCUUUAUAAUCAAAUGUCUCUCUCCAGUUAAAAAUACCAAAGACAAUACAAUCUAGAUUUUCUGUGUGAUUUCCAUCUUUACAUGGCUUAUUUUUUAUAUUACUUUUACUUUCUCUUUAAAGACUUCAUUUUUAAAUUUUUUCUAUUUCUUUAUAUAACUGUCUACAUUCCUUUUCCUCUCUCUUUCAAGCCUAUGUACAUUUUUACACACUUUGUAAACCGUUUAGAGGUUUAUUUCAUCUGAAUUUGUUUUAUUGUGGAUCUAUUGCUUUAAACUGCAGCAUGACUAGAACUGAAAUGGCAGCUUUGUCUGCUGGCUCCACCCACCUCAGCUUCCCAACAUCACAGCAGAACUAUGUUUACUGCCAGCUCUGGGAACUAUGCUCACCACUGACUCUGUGAAGCAGUGGGUCUAUGCUUCCAUACAGCAGCAUGUAGCCCAAAAACCUUUUCUUUAUUUUUUUUAUUUUUAAACUAUGGCCAUAGCAGGCUUCUAGUUAGCUAGCUCUUAUAUCUUAAAUUAACCCAUUUCUAUAAAUCUGUACCUUGCCAUGUGGCUCAUGGCUUACCGGUAUCUUUACAUCUUCUUUCUCAUGGUGGUGGCUGAUAGUGACUCCUCUGUUCUGCCUUUCUCCUUCCUCCUCUCUAGUUAGAAUGUCCCACCUAACCCUAUUCUGCCUAACCAUUGGCCAAACAGCUUUAUUUAUCAACCAAUCAGAGCAACAUAUAUUCACAGCAUACAGAACAACAUCACCCAUCAGUGUAACAAAAAGCUGGAUGGCAAAGAGCUAGGUAGGAGGUAUAGGCAGGUUUCCAGGGAGAGAAAGGAAGAUGAGGAGGAAUCUAGACAUAUGGGAGAUGCCAGGAGACAUGGAGAGGAAACAGGAGGUGCAAGAUUAAAGAGAGGUAACACCACAUGAUAGAAUGUAGAUUAAUAGAAAUGGGAACAAGCCUAAGCUAUAGGCCAAGCUUUUAGAAUUAAUAAGAAGUCUCUGUGUCACUAUUUGGGAAGUGGCUGGUGGGGCAGAAAAAGACUCAUUACACAAAAUACUUGUACUUAUAAAAUAUAUGAACUGUAUAAGUGUAUCAGUUAAUUUUCUCACUGUUGCCACAAAAUACUUGACAUAAACAACUUAAGGAAUAAAGGAUUCAUUUUUGGCUUAUGAUUUGGAAGAGUACAGUCCAUCAUGGCAGUGAAGGUGUGCCAGAGAUCACAGUAACAGGAGCAAGUAGCAUAUUUUGUUCCUAUAUCUGUAGAGCAAGAAACAGAGUGAGGACUAGAAUUGGGAUUUGCCUAUAUCCUUGAAAGCCAGUCCCUAUGGCCUUAUGUCUGAUAGCAUAAGUCUAAAGCCUCCCAAGACAGCACCACUGGCUGGGAAACCAGUGUUUAAACACAAGGGUUGUUUUACAUUCAAAUCACUACAAAUCAACAAGAAAUAACAUUCUAGUAGAAAAAAAAUAGCAAAACACUUGAAUAGGUAUUCUCUACAAAAGAAGUAUCCCAAUUCUCAAACUCACAGAGAUCCACCUGACCCUCCCAAGUGCUGGGAUUAAAGGCAUGCACCACCACCGCCUGGCCCCAAUAUUUUGAUAAACACAUGAAAAAGAGCCCAAUUUCAUUUGUCAUCAGAAUAAAGUAAACCAGAAUACAAUAUUAUACCAUAAUUCCAGUCACCAAAGUAGUUAUAAUGGUAAAAAAGAAAACACCGUGUCAAGAUGUUGAGAAACCAUAGUUUCUUUUAAAAAAAAUUUUAUUCAUUUUGCAUACCAACCACAGUUCCCCUUCCCUCCCUUCCUCCCGUUCCACCACAUCUCCCCCCAUCUUAAUGCCCAUCCACUUCCCAGAAAGGGUAAGGACUCCCAUGGGAAGUCAGUGAAGCCUGGCACAUCAAGUUGAGGCAGGACCAAGCCCCUCCCUACCUGCAUCAAGCCUAUGCAAGGUGUCCCACCAUAGAGAAUGGGCUCCAAAAUGCCAGCUCAUGUGCCAGGGCUAGAUCCUGGUCCCACUGCUAGGGGCCCCUCAACCAGACCAAGCUACACAACUGUCUCCCACAUGCAAAGGGCAUAGUUCCCUCCCAUGUGGGCUUCACAGCUGUCAGUCCAGAGUCCCUGAGGUCUCACCAUCCUGGGUCAGCUGUCUCUGUGGGUUUCCCCAUCAUGAUCUUAAGCCCCUCCUCCCUUUCUCAUGUAAUCUCUCUUCCCUCUCUUCUACUGGACUUCAGGAGCUCAGCCCAGCGCUUAGCUGUGGAUCUCUGCAUCUAUGAGAAAUUAUAUGGUCUUAGUUAGGGUUUCUAUUUCUAUGAAGAGACACCAUGACCAUGGUAACUCUU